GAACACUGUAAAGCACAUAUACUAAAAUCGGAAUGAUACAGAGAAGAUUAGCAUAGCCCCUGCCCAAUGUUGACACGCAAAAUUGUGUAAAGGACUCCAUCAAC